CUGCCUGUCAGCAGCCGCGGUAAAACCAGCACCUCAAGUGGUCAGGAUGAUUAUUGGGCCUAAAGCAUCCGUAGCCGGCUCUGUAAGUUUUCGGUUAAAUCUAUGCGCUCAACGUAUGGGCUGCCGAAAAUACUGUAGAGAUAGGGAGUGGGAGAGGUAGACGGUACUCGGUAGGAAGGGGUAAAAUCCUUUGAUCUAUCGAUGACCACCUGUGGCGAAGGCGGUCUACCAGAACACGUUCGACGGUGAGGGAUGAAAGCUGGGGGAGCAAACCGGAUUAGAUACCCGGGUAGUCCCAGCUGUAAACGAUGCAGACUCGAUGAUGCAUUGGCAUAUAGCCAGUGCAGUGUCGCAGGGAAGCCGUUAAGUCUGCCGCCUGGGAAGUACGUACGCAAGUAUGAAACUUAAAGGAAUUGGCGGGGGAGCACGGUCAAG
rnacentral:rRNA from 1 species